rnacentral:lncRNA from 1 species
CCUGGUGUUAGGCCUGCAUUGCAUAUAUUUAAGGUCGUGAUAGUGUUUUCCCUUGAAGUAUAUCUGGCAGAUGUGGUUUUGGUAUGAAAUGGGACCAAGCUGGAGAAUGACUUUGUUCUGAAGUUCUAGGAAGACACGCUGCACUUGACAACAUAUUAAGCUAUUUAAGACCAAAGCUGAAGGGGAAGCCUUUAUGGUUUUCCCAGACGACAUCAGCUUCAGAGCUCUCCACGCUAGAGCUGCUGGCAACUCUGACAAAGUUAAUUCUUCAGUAAAUCUGGGAAGGAUGUGUCACCCCAGAUUUGAUACAGGAAUCUGGAACUGUUUAGAGCCAAUCUCCUACAGCCUGUGAAUCCAUUAAGACAGUUGGACCUUCAUGAAAGGUUUCUGAUAAGAUCGCAGCCUGAAAUAGAAGGAGUGGCAAGAGAAGAAUGAUCAUGUGACUAGAAGUGAAAAUAUUCCUCUGAAUAAACGUAGUACCAGUACUCA